rnacentral:rRNA from 1 species
GUAAGGAAUUUUCCACAAUGGGCGAAAGCCUGAUGGAGCAACGCCGCGUGGGCGAAGAAGGCCUUCGGGUCGUAAAGCCCUUUUCUAGGGGACGAUAAUGACGGUACCCUAGGAAUAAGCCACGGCUAACUACGUGCCAGCAGCCGCGGUAAUACGUAGGUGGCGAGCGUUGUCCGGAUUUAUUGGGCGUAAAGAGCGCGAAGGCGGGGCCUUAAGUUGGGCGUGAAAUCCCCUGGCUUAACUGGGGGAGGUCGUUCAAUACUGGGGUCCUUGAGGGUGGACGGGGAGAGCGGAAUUCCCGGUGUAGUGGUGAAAUGCGUAGAUAUCGGGAGGAACACCAGUGGCGAAGGCGGCUCUCUAGACCACUCCUGACGCUCAAGCGCGAAAGCGUGGGUAGCGAACGGAAUUAGAUACCCUAGUAGUCC